AUGGCGGGUGGCGGCGGGGGAGGAGAGGUGAGGACGCCUCGGGAGAUGGAUCGGAAGCUGCAAGUUCCUUCCGAAGCAGAGAUCCUGAGCAUGGAGAUUGCAUCCCUGGCGAACUUGCUCAGGGAGAAGCAGUCUGACAUUCUUCAAUUCGACCCUGAGAUCGCGAGGAAGAUCAUGUCCCUGAGGAGCGAGAUCACGUCCGGAUUCAUAUCCAACUCCGAGCAUGUAUAUUUGCCCCACGGCGGUGAGGACGAGGGCGAGCGCCUAAACUGCUUAUUCAGUCAUAUAUUGCAACGGACGGAUGCCUUGUGCGACGAGAUGGCAUCCAUGGCAUCUAUUCUGGCCAAAAUUAGUGUCCCCGUUAUCUCCUAUUACAAGGUCUUCGAUCAGUUAAACGCCGCGCAGAGGUUAUCUAAGAUCUCCCUGGAUAUAUUACAUUCAACCGCGAAUGCAGAUAAAAAGAUGGCUGACCAAAAUGUUGAGGACCAGAGGACCGAGGAGGACAAAAGCAAAUCCAGCACCCACUGUUUUGAGAACCAGGGAACCAAGCAACAUGUGGAUGCAUCGGUAACAGAUCUGACAACGGGCCUUUGUAAACCAAACAUGGAAACGCCGCAGAUGGCUGCCUACUGUCCUGAUGGCCAGAUGACUGAUGAGGAGGAUGUACAUUUCGUGGCAGCGGAUCCUAUAAGUGGCCUUUGCGACCAGGCGACUGUCCACUCCUACGAGAACCAGAGUAACAAGGAGUACAUGGAGAUGAUUGAUCCCAUGACAGAUAAAGGCCAAUCAAGCACGGAGACGCAUGCGUCGAGGAUGAUGGACGGGGGCAAUUCAAGCAGCGAAGGCAAAUCAAGCAAUGAAGGCCAAUCAAGCACGGAGACACAUGCGUCGAGGAUGAUGGAUGAGGGCAAUUCAAGCAAUGAAGGCAAAUCAAGCAAUGAAAGCAAAUCAAGCACAAAGGCAGUGGUGAUGGUGCUGGAUUCCGAUGAGGAGCAUGAAGUGCGGGGUAUGACCAUGGAGAUGCGCAAAUAUUUGAAGAUGCUCGAAUGUGAGGAGGAGGACGAGGGGAAGAUGACCCCGGAGGAUUUAGCGAUGGCUGACCAAUUUGAGAAGUUGCUAUUAGAGAUGCAAGCCAACUUUCUCAAAGUCCAGGAGCAGGAUGAUAAGGACACGCCAAACUGGAUCUCUGUCUCACAUCAGGACGAGGCAGAGGAGAUGGAGAUGGAGGACAGGUUGUUUGCUAGACGCCGUAAAGGCUGGGAAUCUGCAUGGGGAGACCGCAGUGACUUCGAAGACAUGACCUUAUUGAGUCCUAUGCACUUUACACAUUGCACGCUGGGACUGAUCCCCUACACUGCUACCACUGUGAGCGCCUUGCAGAUCUACUCUGUCAAGAUUGUUGAAACAAAGGGAAAGUUGAAGUGGCCACUCUAUGUCUACGGGGUCGUCGCUGCCCGAGAUGCCGUAGAUCACAACCGUAACAUUCUCUUCGCUCGGCAAAGGGAUGACUACCAAGAACUCACUCUAGAGGAUCCUUUUUUGCACCUGACUGGCCCAUCUGGUGUGAUUGUGGCUGUGGACAAUGUUGACUUCGAAAUCCAACUCAAAGUAAAGGGCACAACAUGGUCUGGUGACAAAGCAUUGAUCAGUCACUUCCAGACUUACCCUGGUGAUCGUGAAGGUUCAGAUAGAGCGCUCUUUAGCAACUCCUUUUGCACGGUAGAGUUAAGCUUUGAGCGACUUACAGAAACCGUCCAAGCUACUAUCUUGAGUGUCCGUGUUGUUGAAGGGCGGCCAUCACCUUUUGAAUACGGCGGCCGGAUUAUGUGCUCCUCACCACCACAGGAAGUUAAGGACCCCCUAUCCAGGCAUGUUGUGUUGGUUGAUUCUCAUGAAUUUGAUGGAGAAAUGCCAAUGGGCUCAGCUGGUUACAUUGAUCUGUCAAGGCAAGUUGUUUCUGUAGAACUGGGACAUAACCUGCGAUUUGUCAUACAAGCUUACUCACAAUCUGGUGCCAUUGCUAGGCAAAGCCGUCUCACGUUUAGGACCAAAUAUUGCAACAUAAGUCGAGGUAUAUGUGAGAUUGGUGACUCUAAGGUGGAGAUUACUGUUGCUUGGUCCCAGCUUAUCAAGAACAAGAUGGAAAUCCUCUAA
rnacentral:rRNA from 1 species